rnacentral:tRNA from 1 species
GUUGUGGCUCAGUGGUAGAACGCUUGUCUGGCAUGUGAGAGGCACUGGGUUCAAUCCUCAGCACA